AUUGAACGCUGGCGGCAGGCCUAACACAUGCAAGUCGAGCGGAUGAAGGGAGCUUGCUCCUGGAUUCAGCGGCGGACGGGUGAGUAAUGCCUAGGAAUCUGCCUGGUAGUGGGGGAUAACGUCCGGAAACGGGCGCUAAUACCGCAUACGUCCUGAGGGAGAAAGUGGGGGAUCUUCGGACCUCACGCUAUCAGAUGAGCCUAGGUCGGAUUAGCUAGUCGGUGGGGUAAAGGCCUACCAAGGCGACGAUCCGUAACUGGUCUGAGAGGAUGGUCAGUCACACUGGAACUGAGACACGGUCCAGACUCCUACGGGAGGCAGCAGUGGGGAAUAUUGGACAAUGGGCGAAAGCCUGAUCCAGCCAUGCCGCGUGUGUGAAGAAGGUCUUCGGAUUGUAAAGCACUUUAAGUUGGGAGGAAGGGCAGUAAGUUAAUACCUUGCUGUUUUGACGUUACCAACAGAAUAAGCACCGGCUAACUUCGUG
rnacentral:rRNA from 1 species